GCUGUGAUGGCCGAGAGGUUAAGCGCUUGGACUCGAAAUCCAAUGGGGUUUCCCCGCGCAGGUUCAAACCCUGCUCACAGCG
rnacentral:tRNA from 1 species